ensembl:misc_RNA Metazoa_SRP Metazoan signal recognition particle RNA
CCUGGCAUGUGGUGGUGGGCACCUGUCGUUCCAGCGACUUGAGAGGCUGAGGCAGGAGAGCCGGUUGACCCCAGGAGCUCUGGGCUAUAGUGUGCUGUGCCCAUUGGGUGUUGAGUGUUCACACUAAGUCUGGGAUCAAGAUGGGGACCUUUAGAGAGCAGGUGACCACCAUGUUGUCUAAGGAGGGGUGAACCAGCCCACAUUGGAAACAGAGCAGGUCAAAACUCCUGUGCUAAUCAGUAGUGGGAACGUGCCCUUGAAUAGUCACCGCACUUCAGCCUGGACAACACAGAGUGACACUUUCUGU